GUGAUGGGCGGUGAGCGAGGCGAGCUUCGAGAACCACUCUCUCGGAUAUUUGGGCCUAGCCUGCGCGUAUAAUUCCGCCUGCUUCUCGUAAAGCCCUGCCAUUGUUCCGCUCUCUCGCUCUCGCCUCUCGCCUCGAUUUAUCCUUCCUCGCUGCCGUUCCCAAACAGCUUAGCAUGAUCUUUAGGGGAGCGUGGAAGAACACGACUCCGCGAGGAAGGCUAAUUGAGAUAAUCGCAGCCGCUCGUUUUUUGUAAUGAUGCAUUCAGAUAUGAGAUCUAUAGAAACGACCGGCUGUAAUUAGUGGCGUGCACGGCCACGCCUUUGCACAUAGUAUAGGGUAAAAUUCCUUGAUCAAUAUGGGCUCUCCCACGAUUUGGAGAGAAAAGUCAACCAAUACCUAACGUUGGUUGAACAAGUAAUUGGAUUAGAGGCUAGAAAUGACUACAGCGUUGAAAAUUCCUACGAUGUCCAUGUAAUGCUGCAAAUUUUUUUAAAGAAAAAUCACUACUUUUCCUCCUCAGAUAAAUUCACUAAGAAAAUUAACUUCGAUAAAAUAACACGAGCCACAAGCCGGCUCCAUCAACGCAAUAGAGUGCUGCACGUCCGCCGUAAGCUAGCAGGCAUGCUGCAAUGGCAAGAUAGGUCCGCCGCAGCAGCAGCACCCCUACCACCCCAUCAGGACAUCCACCCAAAGCCCACUCCAAGGGUCCUGAAAUAUCAAGGAGCAUUGCAAAUAGAAAUAGGCAAGAUGCGCAUUCCGUACGAACAGGUCGUGGGUCUACACUAGCACGGUGGGACUUUCGGCAUGCCUGAGACUUAUAUCCUGGUCCAUGAGUGAUUUCCAAUCUGGUUGUUAAGGUCGCGCGUCUCGUGCGGGAGGGCUGAGACGAGUUGUUAAAGUUGGCACAACCUCCAUGGCACUUCAUGCCAUGAAUUUCAAAGAAAAGAAAAGAAAAUAGGCUACAAACAGGCCAAACUCGUUCUCUAUUUAAACCUCUGUUUCUCCUUACUGAUUUCUCCUAUAUUCUCUUGCCUUUUGUGUCAGCAGCAGCCUGACGCUUGAUUCAUGUAGGCUCUAUUCUACCAUUCAGGUAGCGGAAAGCUUUUGAAUAUUAAAUCAAUUUAUGGCAGCUGAGGGGGUUUGAAUGACUUGAGCAGAGGAAAUAGAAUGCAACAUGGAGGAGGAAAGUUGGCCGCCUUUCUUCAACGGCAAACUUUGAAUUGGCCUGUAAAAUCCUUUUUUUUUAAUUUUGCUGCUGCACUUGCAACCUGCUUGCUAUUAUAUGAUGACAGCAAAUACAUCAUAAUGAGUAAAAGAGGCAGCAAACUACUCUAUCUUGAUGUUGGACUCCAUACGGAUACUACACUAUUACUAUAUCGGUACGGUACAGUACGGAGCCAAUUCAGCAUAUCAAAUACCGGUACAUCCUCUAUGCCAUAUACCAAUACCGAACCAAUAUGGUACAGCAUGCUUCGUACCGGUUCGAUAUGAUACGGUGAACCUUGAGAAGUGAAACAGUCCUGGCCAGUUUUUACAGAUUGGCUGUUAAUUGGAUCUCAUCGUAAUAAUAGAAUUUCUUGUCCCAGCACUCAAGGGCGGCCCAAUACACUGACGGCGGCCUGUCCAUUUCCGGUGCCGGCGUCCCACGCCAGCUCGUGACGGGCGGUCAGCGAUGCGAGCUUAGCGAACCACUCCUUUGGGUAUUGGGGCCGCGCCGCCGCAUAUGUCGCCGCCUGCUUCUCGAACAGUCCGGCCAUCCCNNNNNNNNNNNNNNNNNNNNNNNNNNNNNNNNNNNNNNNNNNNNNNNNNNNNNNNNNNNNCUCUCUCUCUCUGUUUCGUGAGAGCCUCUAACUAGAUUUUCAGCGACAAAAAAUUGCCACCGUACCAGGAUUCUCUUUACCCAUCUCUAAUGCGGGACAGUUGGUAUAUCAGACGGCUGGGAUGCUCUUCUUGGAUUGGAGGCAAACAUUACAUAAAAAAAAGGAAAUUCAUAUCAGACGGCUGGAAUGCUCUUUCUUGUUCAUCACUUGUCUCCGUAUUCUCCUCAAUACGAGAGAGAGAGAGAGAAGAGGUGUAUGGAAACCAGAGAGGUAACACUUUGGCGUUGGUUGCCAAGCCAGUGGGACGAAGCGGCGAGUGUGCUACUUCUACGAGCUGGAGGUGGGGAACUACUACUAUGGGCAGGGUUACCCGGUGAAGCCCCACCGAAUCCGGAUGACCCACGCCCUCCUCUCCCACAGUGGCCUCCUCAAUCGCAUGCAGGUCAUCCACCCCGUCCCCGCCCGCGACUGCGACCUCGUUUAGUAUAUACCAUCCUUUGCUGUCUGAAGAAUCAUAUUUUUAUUAUUUAAUAAAUUAUUUGUACCAUCCUUCUGGAAUAGAGUAUGAAUAAUUUUUUUCUUCUUUUACUUUCCCUGACACCUAAUAUCCUAUAGAUCUAUGCCAUGUUUCAGCUUAUGAUUAGCAUAAUUAGGUGAUUAAAUUUUUGCAUCAAAUCUUUGAAUCUAGAUCAGAAUGCUAGACUUAAAAAAUUUCCAAUAUUUCUGGUGUUGUAAAGGGCGUGUGUUUCUUUGUACAUAUGGGAUAAACAAAUAUUUCUUGUUACUUUCCGCUUUCUAUUUUUCAAUAACAUGCAAGUCUUGUUAAAUUAAGCAAUCCGCAUUUCAACCAUUUUGGUAGGGCCGUGGGAGCAUCUUCAAAAUUUUAAAAAAUAAAAAAUGCUAUUAAGAACUGAAAACGCUAUUAGAACUAGUGGUAUUUGUGGGCCGGAAAUGACAGUUUCAGUCAAUAAGCCAUCGGGAGGAUAGAAAAUGGCCAGGAUAUUUUGCCAUGUGAGUAAAAAUAAUCAAGGUUAAACUGAGAUAUCGUUAUUAUUAACCAAGACAAUAUGUUUCCUUAAAUCGGCCGAUGUAUUAAACACCUCUUAAAAACACUAAGCAGAGAUAAUUCAACCUAAACAGUGUCCAGCCCCAUCACCUGUUUAACAUUUGUACGAAUCCCUCCUAAACAAGCUUCAACUCCCUCACAGGACGAGUCUCGUUCCAUGUCGAGACUCACGGGAUCUCCCUCAGAACACAAUCCAAUGCUCUGUAAUGGGACACCCAAAAUCUGAUUUACUGAUUUAAAAAGGUCCUACUAGUUGGCGAGCUGGAUUUGCUAUUGGCUUUGGCAUUGAGGGUUCUGAUUUGAUGGUCGAGUCCUGGAAAUAGGAAGCAAGGAUUAUCUUCAAAAAUGGUAUCAGAGAAGAGAUUUUUCUUCUGAACCUUUAAAGCUGAUGAAGGCAGACUCACAAUCCUCCUCUGUUAGAGUUAUAAUGUAAUUUACUCCUCAAUUACCAAAACAAAUGAGACCUUAUCAUCAUUCCAAAGGGGAAAAAAAAGGUUUAAGCAAUGGUGAAAUAGGACGUGUAUUUUUAAGUUUCAAAAUUUGCACUCCAUUAAUCUCACCAUAGAAAUGCAAACUUGAGCUGCAUUUUUUUGCUUUCCGUAGCUAUCUUUUGUUUUUUUUUUUUGCUAAAAAACCAUCUUUUAUUUUCAUUGUAUGAUCAGAGAGGCUAAUGAGCCGCGGAAUGAAAGACUUCAUAUAUGGUCAGUCACUUCUGAAAUAUACUAUAAAUUUAAAAGAAUAAAAAUUGUCUAAAGCACUCCAUAACUCAUUGUUUUUUAAUUUUAUUAGAUACAUCCAUGUAAAAAAAAAAAAAGCAGCUCAUUUUCCGUGCCAUCUCAAUGGAUCACCAAUGGCUUAUAAUCAAAACAAAAGUGACGUACAGCUUUACUCGACAAGGCAUGCAUGCCCCCCGAUUUAUUCCAAAUUCAGUCUAGUGACGAUGGAGCCAGGACCAGUCUUUUGUGGACCAAAAUGGAGCAGAAAUCGUAUACAAAUCCCGACUUUAUUCUCACACGGAUGGAACCCAAAAAAAAAAGAAAAGCUUCUAGGGUCAGUCUCACAGCGCUAGCCUUCCAAUUUUGGCGUGCCGGCAAGCAUGAAAGCCUUGUAAGUUAUCUUCCUAAUAUCAGAUCCACCCCAAGCAGUCCGGAGCUCCUUCACCACCUCUUCAGUCAGCAAAUCCACUCCACGCUCCUUCGCAGUGGCUACCGCAGACCCCGUCCUCAGCGAUUCCACGAAACCAUCAAAUGAUACCUCCAGAUCCAUGUCGAAACUCGCAGGACUGCCUUCGGUCCCCAGUCCGAUGCUUUCAAAUGGGAACGGAAGGCUCCGGUACCGUUCAAAGGCGUAGCCAGGUCUCUCAUCCAUGUAAGGAAGGGUGGAGACGUAGAAGCGCUUCAUUACGUCCUCCAAAGGAUGGAUGUCGUAGUUGUAGCCCCAGACAGCAAUCACUCCCCCAGGCUUCCUCAAAACACGGUUCACGAUGGCAUAGAAGCUCGGGAGAUCGAACCAGUGCACGGCCGUGGCCACCGUCACCAGGUCUACCGAGCCUUCGCCUCCGAGCAUGGAUACGAAAUCUUGCUCCGAGGUGGACAGAGGCGUGUGAAUGUAUUGAACCUUCGGAUGCGGGAUGGCAUGCUUGAUCUGGGCCUCACUAACGUCCGUGGCUAUCACCUUCUCAUAAUGUUCUGCAACCUAGUGGUGGAAUCAACGUAUAUAGCAUGCCAAAAACCGAUAAGACUGAAACCAAAGUUAUGGAUCAAAAACAAUGGAAAUAUGAAAUUAAAAACAAAAUUUAAGCCCACUGAAGGCUUAGUUUAUUAAAAUAGAACUCGGGUUAUGAAGUCACGCAAAUACACAAACAACUGGCGUGCGGCCUAAUGUUAUGAAGAAGAAGUUAGUAAUUGAGGCAGAGAACGGUCGCAACAUGGUACGUACCAUGGGAUCCGAGAGAGAGAGAGAGAGAGAGNNNNNNNNNNNNNNNNNNNNNNNNNNNNNNNNNNNNNNNNNNNNNNNNNNNNNNNNNNNNNNNNNNNNNNNNNNNNNNNNNNNNNNNNNNNNNNNNNNNNNNNNNNNNNNNNNNNNNNNNNNNNNNGAGCCUGCGCGUAUAUUUCCGCCUGCUUCUCGUAAAGCCCUGCCAUGGUUCCGCUCUCUCGCUCUCGCCUCUCGCCUCGAUUUAUCCUUCCUCGCUGCCGUUCCCAAACAGCUUUAGCAUGAUUUUAGGGGAGCGUGGAAGAACGCGACUCCACGAGGAAGACUAAUUGAGAUAAUCGCAGCCGCUCGUUUUUUGUAUUGAUGCAUUGAGAUA
rnacentral:lncRNA from 1 species